UUUGUUUUUCUAUUAUUUACUAACCAAAAAACCAAAAAUAUGUCAUUGUAUAGUUUAACUUCUUUUGUAGAUAGUGCACAUGCUCACCUAUGCUCUAUCAAACUCAUAUCUAGGGUUUGAGACCCUCAAUGCAAGGAGCUCAAUCAAGAAAUGGUUCACAUUGACUCUAAGUAUCAUAUACGGAUCCCCAUGAUCUUCACAUGUUAUUUUGAUCAAGAAAUCAUCAAGAGUUUGGAGUUGGUUUG
rnacentral:lncRNA from 1 species